AGUGAACGAGGGCGGAAGGAGGAACACAGGCAAGUCGAACGGCAGCACAAGAGAGCUUGCUCUCUGGGUGGCGAGUGGCGGACGGGUGAGGAAUGCAUCGGCAUCUGCCCAUUUGUGGGGAUAACCUCGGGAAACCGGGACUAAUACCGCAUACGACCUACGGGUGAAAGCAGGGGAUCUUCGGACCUUGCGCAGAUGGAUGAGCCGAUGCCGGAUUAGCUAGUUGGAGGGGUAAAGGCCCACCAAGGCGACGAUCCGUAGCUGGUCUGAGAGGAUGAUCAGCCACACUGGGACUGAGACACGGCCCAGACUCCUACGGGAGGCAGCAGUGGGGAAUAUUGGACAAUGGGCGCAAGCCUGAUCCAGCCAUGCCGCGUGUGUGAAGAAGGCCUUCGGGUUGUAAAUCCGUUUUGUUGGGAAAGAAAAGCAGCCGGUUAAUACCCGGUUGUCAUGACGGUACCCAAAGAAUAAGCACCGGCUACCUUCGUC
rnacentral:rRNA from 1 species